rnacentral:tRNA from 2 species
GGUCCUGUAGCUCAAUGGGAGAGCAUCCGGUUGUCAACCGGCAGACGAGGGAUCGAAACCCUUCAGGACCGCCA